rnacentral:rRNA from 1 species
AUACGUAUGGAGCAAGCGUUAUCCGGAUUUACUGGGUGUAAAGGGAGCGUAGACGGCAUAGCAAGUCUGAAGUGAAAUCCCAUGGCUUAACCAUGGAACUGCUUUGGAAACUGCCAGGCUAGAGUGCAGGAGAGGUAAGCGGAAUUCCUAGUGUAGCGGUGAAAUGCGUAGAUAUUAGGAGGAACACCAGUGGCGAAGGCGGCUUACUGGACUGUAACUGACGUUGAGGCUCGAAAGCGUGGGGAGCAAACAGGAUUAGAUACCCUGGUAGUCCACGCUGUAAACGAUGAUUACUAGGUGUUGGGGACCAAAGGUCCUCGGUGCCGCCGCAAACGCAUUAAGUAAUCCACCUGGGGAGUACGUUCGCAAGAAUGAAACUUAAAGGAAUUGGCGGGG